GUGUUCGCUUCGGCAACACAUAUACUAAAAUUGGAACGAUACAGAAAAGAUUAGCAUGGUCCCUGCGCAAGGAUGGCACACAAAUUCAUGAAGCGUUCCACAUUUAA
ensembl:snRNA LOC120098432 U6 spliceosomal RNA